CCUACGGGAGGCAGCAGUGGGGAAUAUUGCACAAUGGGCGCAAGCCUGAUGCAGCCAUGCCGCGUGUAUGAAGCGGGCCUUCGGGUUGUAAAGUACUUUCAGCGGGGAGGAAAGGAGUGAAGUUAAUACCUUUGCUCAUUGACGUUACCCGCCGAAGAGGCACCGGCUAACUCCGUGCCAGCAGCCGCGGUAAUACGGAGGGUGCAAGCGUUGAUCGGAAUUACUGGGCGUAAAGCGUGCGCAGGCGGUAUGUUAAGUCAGAUGUGAAAGCCGCGGGCUCAACCUGGGAAUGGCACCUGAUACUGGCAAGCUGGAAUGCGGUAGAGGUGAAGAGAAUUCCUGGUGUAGCGGUGAAAUGCGUAGAGAUCAGGAGGAACAUCGGUGGCGAAGGCGCUUUACUGGACCGUAAUUGACGCUGAGGAACGAAAGCCAGGGGAGCAAAUGGGAUUAGAUACCCUAGUAGUC
rnacentral:rRNA from 1 species